rnacentral:rRNA from 1 species
ACGGAAGGCAGCAGUGGGGAAUAUUGCACAAUGGGGGAAACCCUGAUGCAGCGACGCCGCGUGAGUGAAGAAGUAUUUCGGUAUGUAAAGCUCUAUCAGCAGGAAAGAAAAUGACGGUACCUGACUAAGAAGCCCCGGCUAACUACGUGCCAGCAGCCGCGGUAAUACGUAGGGGGCAAGCGUUAUCCGGAUUUACUGGGUGUAAAGGGAGCGUAGACGGCUUGGCAAGUCUGAAGUGAAAGCCCGGGGCUCAACCCCGGAACUGCUUUGGAAACUGUUGAGCUGGAGUGUAGGAGAGGUAAGCGGAAUUCCUAGUGUAGCGGUGAAAUGCGUAGAUAUUAGGAGGAACACCAGCGGCGAAGGCGGCUUACUGGACUGUAACUGACGUUGAGGCUCGAAGGCGUGGGGAGCAAACAGGAUUAGAUACCCUGGUA